UACGUAGGGUGCGAGCGUUAAUCGGAAUUACUGGGCGUAAAGCGUGCGCAGGCGGUUGUGCAAGACCGAUGUGAAAUCCCCGGGCUUAACCUGGGAAUGGCAUUGGUGACUGUACGGCUAGAGUGUGUCAGAGGGGGGUAGAAUUCCACGUGUAGCAGUGAAAUGCGUAGAGAUGUGGAGGAAUACCGAUGGCGAAGGCAGCCCCCUGGGAUAACACCGACGCUCAUGCACGAAAGCGUGGGGAGCAAACAGG
rnacentral:rRNA from 1 species